rnacentral:piRNA from 1 species
UAACAAAAUAACAGGGGAGCAA